rnacentral:rRNA from 1 species
UACGUAGGGUGCGAGCGUUGUCCGGAAUUAUUGGGCGUAAAGGGCUCGUAGGCGGUUUGUCGCGUCGGGAGUGAAAACCAGGUGCUUAACACCUGGCCUGCUUUCGAUACGGGCAGACUAGAGGCAUGCAGGGGAGAACGGAAUUCCUGGUGUAGCGGUGAAAUGCGCAGAUAUCAGGAGGAACACCGGUGGCGAAGGCGGUUCUCUGGGCAUGUCCUGACGCUGAGGAGCGAAAGUGUGGGGAGCGAACAGG